UACAUCUUUUGAAAUAUAUAAUACUUAGUUAUUUAGGUAAUAUAAACUUUAUUUUUAGACAUUCCUUCCAGGAAAUGUUAUGCAUAGGAUUUUUACACAAACAGCAGAUGCAAAUUAUUUAGUACCAUGAUGACAGCACCAGCCAAUAUAUCCUUUUACAAUUUUACUGCGAUAUCUCCCCCAGAUGGAUUCUGCGAAUAUCAGAAACUUGGUCCUUUCAAUCUAUUCAACAUUAUCACAUUUAAAGAGUUCGGAAAUUUCGCUAUUUGUCUAUUAUCUGGUGUUUUCCUUGGGAUUCUCGGCAUCUACAAAUCUGGUAAUAAUGUGUCGUCCUUUAUCCUUUACUUGUAUGGUCUCAUUGUUGGAUACGGAAUAAUGGAAGGCAUAUACCAUGCAACACUGUGGAAUGGGUUUGGACGAAUAGGAGAGACGAUACUCAAGUUUCAACAAAGUCUGAUUGUGGUAUUUCUUGCAAAUACUGCUGGGUUUUCUCAAUUUUAUGGACACCACUACAUUUUCAUCACCACUGUUUUGAUAGCCGGAAUGUACCCAAUGGUAACCGUGGUUCUAAGUUCUGCCUAUAGGAAUGCAUGGAUCGGCUGGUUGACUUUUGACGUUCUCUGGUUCUUCAUAUUGUCUAUUUGUCUUGAAAUAUGGAAGAAUAAAGAAAGCUACAAAUUUGCCAAGAUUGAUGCAUUUUUACAGAUGUGGUAUGCCACUGGGUAUGUCGUAAUUGCAUAUGUGCUCUGGUGUAUCGAUACUUUCUACUGUACUUAUGUGUUUGCUCAUUUGUAUCUUCAUGGUAUAUGCCACUUACUAAUUGCCCUAGGAUAUUUCUACUUAACAACACUGAUUUCCUGCCUCACAGCAAGGUUGGAAAACUUUGAACCGAUCAUUACGACGUAUCCAUCGGACAAAUUGCCCAUGAUCUUUUUUGUCGAAUGGAAACAUAUACAUUAACGGAAUUAAAAGAAAAGACGUCAAUGUCAAACUUUGAAAUAUGAGGCAGUGGACUAGUGUAGGAAAAGCUGUUACUAUAACAAGUAAAACAGUUUCUAACAUGAUAAAUAUACAUUCAAAUUCGUGAACUCCUUUUUUAGAUGACUUUAAAAUAAGUACGUGAAAUUCUGUAAACAUUUAAACCAAGUAGAUCACUGCAUGUAUUAGACGUAAAUGUGAGAAAGAUAGGCUUAGUAACCUUAUGCAGCUUUCAAUGGUCAGUUGUAGUUUUAAAAUUAAAGAGUUUAAUUAUUUUUUGCAGUUGGAUUAAAAUGUUUUUAUUUUUACAUUUCUCAUUAAAACUAUUGCUACAAUCUAUCAAUCUG